CAACCAGCCUGAAUAUCAACAUUAUUACAAUUACCACCAUUACAACAGGUAAUGGUGCGGGCUGACGCAUAACAGGAAAGAUAGAAAAGCCCGCACCCUAUUCAGGUGCGGGCUUUUUUUUU
rfam:Bacteria symbiont BFo2 of Frankliniella occidentalis strain BFo2 contig318, whole genome shotgun sequence.